rnacentral:tRNA from 1 species
GCCGGAGUGGCGAAAUUGGCAGACGCGCUGGACUCAAAAUCCAGUGGGGUUCACUCCUCGUGUGGGUUCGAGUCCCACCUCCGGCACCA